AUUUUGGCUUUAGUCCAGGCUUGUCAGUCUUGAAAGGUCACAAAUUAAUCAUGUUCACCACAGAUCACGCUGACAAGAAGAUCUUCCUCU